CGGACGGGUGAGUAAUGUCUGGGAAACUGCCCGAUGGAGGGGGAUAACUACUGGAAACGGUAGCUAAUACCGCAUAACGUCGCAAGACCAAAGAGGGGACCUUCGGGCCUCUUGCCAUCGGAUGUGCCCAGAUGGGAUUAGCUAGUAGGUGGGGUAACGGCUCACCUAGGCGACGAUCCCUAGCUGGUCUGAGAGGAUGACCAGCCACACUGGAACUGAGACACGAUCCAG
rnacentral:rRNA from 1 species